GGCCCGGGGGCCUGGGGCGGCUGCCAGCUGCCCUCCUGGAACGCGGCUCCUGCAGGACUUCCCGAAGGCUGCUCUCCGCCGGCUCCAGGGUUAUUAUAAAGAGGAUACCGACCAGCUGUUCAUCAUCUCUACAGAGGACAUAAGAGCUGUAAAAAGCUGAAGAAAGGAAGAAAGCGGAAAUUCCCAGGAGAAGAUCCCCGACCACAUCCAGGGCCACCAGCUCUCCACAAACACAAGGCCCAGCAGUGGCACCAAGCAAAGCAUGAGAAGAAACCUCAGGAUUCUGACACAAUCCACAAAUAUAACUUUGAAUUGUCCUGAAACUAAACAAUGACAAUUCUAUCCAAUCAACUUUCAGCUGACACACAGACGGGGUGGUGACUUAUUGGUGUUCCAGAUGUAGUUAAUGGAAACAUGAUGCCCAGAAUUAAAAAGGUAUUCAGUAAAUGUUGAUUGAAUGGAUGGAUGAGUGAAUGACGUCUGAACAGAUGCCCAUGUCUCUUUCCCUCUUCGCAGCUCUGUUGGGAAGAUGUCCUCAAUGCUUCAAACCUGGCCAGGCGUGGUGGCUCACGCC
rnacentral:lncRNA from 1 species